CCUACGGGAGGCAGCAGUGGGGGAUAUUGCACAAUGGGGGAAACCCUGAUGCAGCGACGCCGCGUGUGGGAAGACGGUCCUCUGGAUUGUAAACCACUGUCCCCAGGGACGAAGAUGACGGUACCUGGGGAGGAAGCUCCGGCUAACUACGUGCCAGCAGCCGCGGUAAUACGUAGGGAGCGAGCGUUGUCCGGAAUUACUGGGUGGAAAGGGAGCGUAGUCGGGACUACAAGUUAGGUGUCAAAUCUACCGGCUCAACCGGUCGCCGCACUCAAAACUGCAGUUCUUGAGUGAAGUAGAGGCAGGCGGAAUUCCUAGUGUAGCGGUGAAAUGCGUAGAUAUUAGGAGGAACACCAGUGGCGAAGGCGGCCUGCUGGGCUUUUACUGACGCUGAGGCUCGAAAGUGUGGGGAGCAAACAGGAUUAGAUACCCUUGUAGUC
rnacentral:rRNA from 1 species